UACCAGCACCCCGAGUGGUCGGGACGUUUAUUGGGCCUAAAGCAUCCGUAGCCGGUUCUACAAGUCUUCCGUUAAAUCCAACUGCUUAACAGGUGGGCUGCGGAAGAUACUAUGGAGCUAGGAGGCGGGAGAGGCAAGCGGUACUCGAUGGGUAGGGGUAAAAUCCGUUGAUCCAUUGAAGACCACCAGUGGCGAAGGCGGCUUGCCAGAACGCGCUCGACGGUGAGGGAUGAAAGCUGGGGGAGCAAACAGG
rnacentral:rRNA from 1 species